GAUCCUGGCUCAGGAUGAACGCUAGCGACAGGCUUAACACAUGCAAGUCGAGGGGCAGCGAGGGAGUGGCAACACUUCUGUCGGCGACCGGCGCACGGGUGAGUAACGCGUAUGCAACCUGCCCUUCACAGGGGGGAUAACCGGGAGAAAUUCCGACUAAUACCGCAUACGUCCUUUGGGGGCAUCCCCUGGGGAUGAAAGAGUUAUCGGUGAAGGAUGGGCAUGCGUGAUAUUAGGUAGUUGGCGGGG
rnacentral:rRNA from 1 species